AUGAAAAUAGUUUUAUGCUGCAAGAACCUUCAACUAAAUCAUGCUAUUUUCUAAACAUGUUUAUUACAUUGUUAAAUAAUAGUCUGGGAAAAGGGAAACUUUGCAUAAUAUGAAUAUGUUCAGUUUGAAAAUAUGGCCACCAUGAUGAGAGAGUAAAGUUGGCAUGGUUGUAUUUUUUUAGCAAGUUUGAAAACAUGAUUCAUGAUGAGAAACCUGGCCAUGCAUAUUGUUCCUGCAAAAAAGGGGGGGAAAGAUAAGAAACCUAAGAGAAAAACAUGUCUUUGUUGUGCAUAUAUGGAGAUAUAGGGAUCAAGAGGUAUUAGGAUAAACCAUAUGUUAUUUAGCCCAG
rnacentral:lncRNA from 1 species